rnacentral:rRNA from 1 species
AGGACGAACGCUGGCGGCGCGCCUAACACAUGCAAGUCGAGCGAGAACCGGGGCUUCGGUCCCGGGGACAGCGGCGAACGGGUGCGUAACACGUGAACAACCUGCCCCGAAGACCGGGACAACCCGAGGAAACUCGGACUAAUACCGGAUGUCCUCACCGGAUCGCAUGGUCUGGUGAGGAAAUGGAUUCCGCUUCGGGAUGGGCUCGCGGUCUAUCAGCUUGUUGGUGGGGUAACGGCCUACCAAGGCGACGACGGAUAGCUGGUCUGAGAGGACGAUCAGCCACACUGGGACUGAGACACGGCCCAGACUCCUACGGGAGGCAGCAGUGGGGAAUCUUGCGCAAUGGGGGAAACCCUGACGCAGCGACGCCGCGUGCGGGAUGAAGGCCUUCGGGUUGUAAACCGCUUUCAGCAGGGACGAAAUUGACGGUACCUGCAGAAGAAGGCCCGGCAACUACGUGCCAGCAGCCGC